ACGCUCGACACCUACGGGGGCAGCAGUGGGGAAUAUUGCACAAUGGGGGAAACCCUGAUGCAGCGACGCCGCGUGAGUGAAGAAGUAUUUCGGUAUGUAAAGCUCUAUCAGCAGGGAAGAGAAUGACGGUACCUGACUAAGAAGCCCCGGCUAACUACGUGCCAGCAGCCGCGGUAAUCUGAGGCGGCUGGCAAGGC
rnacentral:rRNA from 1 species